AUUUUUCACACCCCGGAGAGAUGUAGGUAUGCUGAUUGUAAGUUUUCAGCGUAGAUCUGCCAUCAUUCUGUGUGUAACCUUGGGCAAGACAUCAGACAAAUACUGUACUGUGGGAUUUCUUUGCUGACCAGACAGUUACUACACGGAAAAGAGAAUCAACCAAGGAAUAUGGAGUUUCCAGAUGUAGCCACGGCAGCGCUUUGAAGUGUGAG